rnacentral:rRNA from 1 species
AUACGUAGGUGACAAGCGUUAUCCGGAUUUACUGGGCGUAAAGGGCGUGUAGGCGGUCUUGCAAGUCAGAAGUGAAAUUCCUGAGCUCAACUCGGGCGCUGCUUCUGAAACUGCAGGACUUGAGUGCUGGAGGGGAGAGCGGAAUUCCUAGUGGAGCGGUAAAAUGCGCAGAUAUUAGGAAGAACACCAGUGGCGAAGGCGACUUACUGGACUGUAACUGACGCUGAGGCGCGAAAGUGUGGGGAGCAAACAGGAUUAGAUACCCUGGUAGUCCACACUGUAAACGAUGAAUGCUAGGUGUAGGGGGUAUCGACCCCUUCUGUGCCGCAGUUAACACAAUAAGCAUUCCGCCUGGGGAGUACGGCCGCAAGGUUGAAACUCAAAUGAAUUGACGGGG